rnacentral:rRNA from 1 species
UACGUAGGGGGCUAGCGUUGUCCGGAAUCAUUGGGCGUAAAGCGCGCGUAGGCGGCCCGGUGAGUCCGCUGUAAAAGUCAAAGGCUCAACCUUUGAAUGUCAGUGGAUACUGCCGGGCUAGAGUCCGGAAGAGGCGAGUGGAACUCCUGGUGUAGCGGUGGAAUGCGCAGAUAUCAGGAAGAACACCGACGGCGAAGGCAGCUCGCUGGGACGGUACUGACGCUGAGGCGCGAAAGCGUGGGGAGCGAACAGG